rnacentral:lncRNA from 1 species
AUGAUCGGUCAUCUGUCUGCCUCGAUUUGGGCCCCCACAGGCCCUUUACGAUGCAGCAGGCAGAGUGAACGUUGUAAAAAUAUUCGGUUAAAUCUGACACGGUGUUUUCCCGCUUGCAGGUCCCAAGGCUGCUCAGCGAACGUACAGAAUCCAAAUGACCACGAAGCGCCCCGGAGUCGGAGCCCUCGCAUCCUCCAGCCGCUCCGGGCUUCUCAAAUUCUGCAACUUUCUUGUUUAUUCAAUGAAACAAGCAUACAUCGGUUUAUGGUCUACCUACCCAUGAGGUGUAAACCUCACUCUGUCCAGUGCAGCUCACUCUGUCCAGCUUGUCUAAAAGUCACCUGCUUUUAUUCAUCCGGAGCUUAAUGAACACUCGUUGGAUGAAUAGGUAGACCUCUAGAUGUCUUAUAGUAAUAGCUCGUAGAUCUGGUUGGACGCACAUAAGCCAUUUUACAGAUCUUUUGAAAACUAUGGACUCCUCACCCUCUAGAAAAAUGACGCUGCGCACUACGGUUAUAACACCAAGGGGUUCCCGAUCCCUCAAUACUCUUGCUGUCUGUAGCGAUGUUAGGUUUGCUUAAAAUAGCAGGAACAGAAAAUCUUUUCCUCUAAGGACAUGAGUUUCAUCCAGAAACUGAGAGUGGAUGUUCUGGCCAAAUAUUUGUCCAGUUCCCAAUGUAUUCAGAGCCUUUGAAACAAAUACAGCUAUCCCUAGAAGCUCAGAGUGUUUCUCUGGUCCUGAGCUAUUGGUUCAGGCUACAGCUUGAAAAACUGUAAGUCUGCGGCUGUGCCUGUCGGAGGCCCUACCUGCCCCCACUGAAGGAGACACACACACACAGGCCUUCUGAGCUCUGAGAGCUAGUGCACAGAAGUAACAUUCCGUGCUUGUACGUGUGCUGUGGCAUCGAAGUGUGGUGCCCAGGACAGUUCCGUAACUGGUGACCUCGUACAAGCAAAGCUUGUGUAAAAAGCCUCUGUACGCUCAUCUAUGCAUAUGCUAGGGCUUCCUGGGGACCUAGACCAAUCAAGGCUCAGCAUGCUAAGAACAAGGAGACAAUAGUUCGAAAGCAUGUCUUUGCUAGAAAUCUAAGAAGUAGAAUCACACACACAGCAGAUGCAUGGAAAUAUGUUGUAGGUCAGCAGGAAUGCACAAGCAGGCUUUUCUGCUCUACGAGAUCUGUAUACUUUCAAAUUUCAAAUUUCAUUUCAUUUCAAAUUUAUAGUUGGUUUAUAGCCCAGCAUAUGGUCAAUUUUUGUAAAUAUUCCAUGUGUGCUUUAAAAUAAUAUGUGUUCUGCAGUUGUUAGGUGUUCUAUAUAUGUCUGCUAGGUCUAAUUUGAUAACUGUGCUGAUUAAAUCUCAUAUGCCAUUAUUCAUGUUUUUCCUGCUUUUUCUGUUACUAAAAGGAGUAUGUUAGAGUUUUCCACUAUAUGCAGAUUUGUAUAUUUCUCUGUAGAGUUCUGUCAAUUUUUAAUAACUUUUUUUUUUUUCUAGUAGGCUUCACACCCAGCACAGAGCCCAGUUCAGGGCUUGAACUCACAACACUGAGAUCAAGACCAGGGCUGAGAUUGAGAGUUAGAUGCUUAACCAACUGAGACACCCAGGUGACCCAGUUUCUGUCAAUUUUUAAUUUAUAUAUUGUUAGUUAUGCUAUUAGGUGCUUACAAACUUACAGUAAUUAUAUCUUCCUGGUGAAUUAUAUGCUUAAUCAGUACGAAAAAUUUUUCUAAAUCCUUUGUUAUCCAUUUUGCCUUAAAGUCUACCUUGUCUGUAAACAACAUAGCAAAUUUUAUUUUGGUUUAUUUAUGCUUAGUAACUCCUACCCUUUACUUUCAAGCAUUAUGUAUCUUUCUGUGUUAGGUGUCUAUUUUGUCUCUCCUGUUCUAUAUCCCAUAUUCUCUCAUUCUAGCUUUCUUUUGAACUAUUUGGUAUACGUUUAUUCCCCCUCCCCCACUCCCAUAAGGUUGAUGAUUAUAUACACUUUGAACAUUCUUUGAGAUUACAAAAUGCAUCCGGGAUAUAUCAGAUUCUAUUCAUAAAUAGUUAAUCUGCUUCAUUUUACCCUCUUUCUCGGCAAUGUAAAGACCUUAGAAUUUUAUAACACUAUAUCCAAUCUCUUGAAUUAUAUAAUUAUAUGGUAUAUUACUGUUGUGAUUAAACAUAGGUAGACAUUACCUAUCUAAAUAUAUAAAGAAAAAGAUGUUCACAUUGUCAAUCUUCAUAAUAUAUUCACCAUGAUGGUUAAUUUUAUGUGUCAACUUGAUUGGGCCAUGGGGUGCCCAUAUAUUUUGGGUGAACAUUAUUUCUGAGUGUGUCUGUGAGGGUGUUUCCAAAUGAGAGUGACACAUAUACAUAUUUUUUAAUUUUUUAAAUUUCAUUUAAAUCCAAGUUAGUUGACAUAUAGUGUAAUAAUGGUUUCAUGAGUAAAAUUUAGUGAUUCAUCACUCAGAUGAAAGUAACAUUUAUUUAUUUAUUUUGAGAGACAGAGAUAGAGUGAAUGGGGGAGGGGCAGAGAGACAGAGGGAGAGAGAGAAUCCCAAGCAGGCUCUACACUGUCAGCACAGAGCCCAACGCGGGGCUUGAACCCACAAAACCGUGAGAUCAUGACCUGAGCCAAAACCAACAGCCGGACGCUCAACCGACUGAACCACCCAGGUGCUCCAGGAGUAACACUUAGAUUGGUAGCAUGAGGAAAACAGAUCACUCUCCACAAUGUGGGUGGGCCUCAUCCUAUCUGUUGAAAGUCUAAACAUAAAAAGAAAAAAAAAAUGGCUGAGUAAGAAAGAAUUCUUUCUCUCUGCCUGUCUUCGAGCUGGAGCACCAGUCUUCUGCCCUCAGACUCAGACUAGAACUGCAUCAGCUGUCCUGGUUCUCAGCCAGCUGAUAGCCGAUCUUGGGACUUCCCAGCCUCCACAGUUACAUGAGCCGAUUCCUUAUAAUAAAUCGCCCUCCCUCCCUCUCUGUCUCUCUACC